CCUACGGGUGGCAGCAGUGAGGAAUAUUGGUCAAUGGACGCAAGUCUGAACCAGCCAUGCCGCGUGCAGGAAGACGGCGCUAUGAGUUGUAAACUGCUUUUGUACGAGGGUAAACGCAGAUACGCGUAUCUGUCUGAAAGUACCGUACGAAUAAGGAUCGGAUAACUCCGUGCCAGCAGCCGCGGUAAUACGGAGGGUUCAAGCGUUAUGCGGAUUUAUUGGGUUUAAAGGGUGCGUAGGCGGUGGGUUAAGUUAGAGGUGAAAUCCCGGGGCUCAACUUCGGAAUUGCCUCUGAUACUGUUCGGCUAGAGAGUAGUUGCGGUAGGCGGAAUGUCUUGUGUAGCGGUGAAAUGCUUAGAGAUCUUGCAGAACACCGAUUGCGAAGGCAGCUUACCAGGCUACUUCUGACGUUGAGGCACGAAAGCGUGGGGAGCAAACAGGAUUAGAUACCCCUGUAGUC
rnacentral:rRNA from 1 species